AACAGAUAGGAGAACCAGUCUAUCUUGAUCACUGGAGAAUCUGGUGCUGGAAAGACUGUUAACACCAAGCGUGUCAUCCAGUACUUUGCAACAAUCGCAGUUGGUGGACCGAAGAAGGAG